UACGUAGGUGGCAAGCGUUAUCCGGAAUUAUUGGGCGUAAAGCGCGCGUAGGCGGUUUUUUAAGUCUGAUGUGAAAGCCCACGGCUCAACCGUGGAGGGUCAUUGGAAACUGGAAAACUUGAGUGCGGAAGAGGAAAGUGGAAUUCCAUGUGUAGCGGUGAAAUGCGCAGAGAUAUGGAGGAACACCAGUGGCGAAGGCGACUUUCUGGUCUGUAACUGACGCUGAUGUGCGAAAGCGUGGGGAUCAAACAGGAUU
rnacentral:rRNA from 1 species